CCGCUUCCCAGUCCUCCUCUCCCUUCAAUCCUGCGCCAAACCGCGGAGAAACACCCGCCCAGGCAGAAGAAGCAGCAAGCGCGCUGCCCGGCAGAAAGCAAAAGCGUCCUGCUUGCAAACAACCCCGCUUUCCUACCCCUCCCUCUUAUUUCUGCGCUGCCGCCGCCUCUCGGCUCCCUCCCUGACCUCCCUCCCGGCAAAUCGCGCGGCUCUUCCCUUCUCCGCUGGAAGCCCUAGCGACUGCGCCCGAAGCCGCCCUCCGCUCCGAACCCGUCCAUUUCCUUCGCUUUCUCUUCCCCCUCCCUCCCCCGCUGCCUUUUCCCGAACGCGGCCCCCAAGCGUCCGCGCAGGAGACGCGGCUUCUCCCCUGGCCCCGAGAAACCUCCGGACUGCUUUUUGGAAAGUCAACUUCCCUCGCUCGGAGCCUGGGGGCGAAGAAAGAGGGAGAGAGAGGGAGAGAGAGCAGCGCUUGCUUGUCCUCGAAGGCGGCGGCAGCGGCGGCGACAGCCGGGGAGGGCCAGCUCUUCCUUUCUCGGUUCCGCCUUUCCUUUGGUAAUCCUGAAAAUGAUUGAAUGGAGAGAAUCAGAAUAUACAAAUGCUUACUUGAAGAUUAUGGCUUCAGAAAGAGUUAUCCAGACAGAGAAAAUACAACUUUCUUGUGAGUGCCUCUCAGUGGAUUUAAUGAUUGGAGCUAGACUUGAUGAUACUGGAUGAUAAAUGUAUUUCCAAAGUCAGAAGAAUUGUACAAACUGAAAAGCAUUGCCCUUCCUCUGUAAUUGUAAGUGACAAGAUAACAAUUGUUUUAGUCACCAGUUGAAAUGGAAUGUGGUUGAUAGAGAUUGGAGAACAAACUCCACUGUCUGUAUUGUUAAAGUCAAGCUACUUUGUUAGUGUAGUAAGACUAAUUGGCUUUAUUAUUACACUCUUAAGUACUUUCAUUCAUCUUCCUCUUUGCCUGCAGUGUUUGGAAUCAUUUGUUUAAUUCUACCUAUAUUUUAUGACUGUGAUUAAAUAAUAAAGUUUUUAUUACGUAAUAAUAAAAAUGUUCAUGUGACACAUUUGAUUUAAAAAA